rnacentral:rRNA from 1 species
UGGGGAAUUUUGCACAAUGGGGGAAACCCUGAUGCAGCGACGCCGCGUGAUUUAGAAGGCCUUCGGGUUGUAAAAAUCUUUUCUAUGGGAAGAAAAUGACAGUACCAUAGGAAUAAGGACCGGCUAAUUACGUGCCAGCAGCCGCGGUAAUACGUAAGGUCCGAGCGUUGUCCGGAAUCAUUGGGCGUAAAGGGUACGUAGGCGGGUAAGCAAGUUAGAAGUGAAAUCCUAUAGCUCAACUAUAGUAAGCUUUUAAAACUGCUCAUCUUGGGGUAUGGAAGGAAAAGUGGAAUUCCUAGUGUGGCGGUGAAAUGCGCGGAGAUUAGGAGGAAUACCGAUGGCGAGGGCGACUUGCUGGACAUAUACUGACGCUGAGAUACGAAAGCGUGGGUAGCAAACGGG